AUUGAACGCUGGCGGCAGGCCUAACACAUGCAAGUCGAACGGUAACAGGGAUCAGCUUGCUGAUUCGCUGACGAGUGGCGGACGGGUGAGUCAUGUCUGGGAAACUGCCUGAUGGAGGGGGUUACCUCCUGGAACCGGUACCUAAAACCGCAUAUCUUCGCAACACCAAAGUGGGGGACCUUCGGGCCUUUUUCCAUUCGCUUUUCCCUGGUGGGAUUAGCUAGUAGGUGGGGUAACGGCUCACCUAGGCCACGAUCCCUAGCUGGUCUGAGAGGCUGAUCAGCCACACUGGAACUGAGACACGGUCCAGACUCCUACGGGAGGCAGCAGUGGGGAAUAUUGCACAAUGGGCGCAAGCCUGAUGCAGCCAUGCCGCGUGUAUGAAGAAGGCCUUCGGGUUGUAAAGUACUGUCAGCGGGGAGGAAGGGAGUAGAGUUAAUACCUGUGCACAUUGACGUUACCCGCAGAAGAAGCACCGGCUAACUCCGUG
rnacentral:rRNA from 1 species